GAGUCAUAUCAUUAAUAAAAUUA
rnacentral:snRNA from 1 species